rnacentral:rRNA from 1 species
UACGUAGGGUGCGAGCGUUGUCCGGAAUUAUUGGGCGUAAAGAGCUCGUAGGCGGUUUGUCGCGUCUGCUGUGAAAACUCGGGGCUUAACUCCGGGCCUGCAGUGGGUACGGGCAGACUAGAGUGCGGUAGGGGAGACUGGAAUUCCUGGUGUAGCGGUGAAAUGCGCAGAUAUCAGGAGGAACACCGGUGGCGAAGGCGGGUCUCUGGGACGGUACUGACGCUGAGACGCGAAAGCGUGGGGAGCGAACAGG